GCUCAGGACGAACGCUGGCGGCGUGCUUAACACAUGCAAGUCGAACGAUGAAGCCUUUCGGGGUGGAUUAGUGGCGAACGGGUGAGUAACACGUGGGCAAUCUGCCCUUCACUCUGGGACAAGCCCUGGAAACGGGGUCUAAUACCGGAUACGACCUGCCUCCGCAUGGAGGUGGGUGGAAAGCUCCGGCGGUGAAGGAUGAGCCCGCGGCCUAUCAGCUUGUUGGUGGGGUAAUGGCCUACCAAGGCGACGACGGGUAGCCGGCCUGAGAGGGCGACCGGCCACACUGGGACUGAGACACGGCCCAGACUCCUACGGGAGGCAGCAGUGGGGAAUAUUGCACAAUGGGCGAAAGCCUGAUGCAGCGACGCCGCGUGAGGGAUGACGGCCUUCGGGUUGUAAACCUCUUUCAGCAGGGAAGAAGCGAGAGUGACGGUACCUGCAGAAGAAGCGCCGGCUAACUACGUGCCAGCAGCCGCGGUAAUACGUAGGGCGCAAGCGUUGUCCGGAAUUAUUGGGCGUAAAGAGCUCGUAGGCGGCUUGUUGCGUCGGAUGUGAAAGCCCGGGGCUUAACCCCGGGUCUGCAUUCGAUACGGGCAGGCUAGAGUGUGGUAGGGGAGAUCGGAAUUCCUGGUGUAGCGGUGAAAUGCGCAGAUAUCAGGAGGAACACCGGUGGCGAAGGCGGAUCUCUGGGCCAUUACUGACGCUGAGGAGCGAAAGCGUGGGGAGCGAACAGGAUUAGAUACCCUGGUAGUCCACGCCGUAAACGUUGGGAACUA
rnacentral:rRNA from 1 species